GUCAGUGCAGAGACAUCAAAAUGGGUUCUCAGGGGAUUCUACUUCCUCUCAUACUGAUUUAUAUUCAGGGUUCCUGGGCACAGAUUACACUGAGACAGACUCCGAAUGACAUCACUGCGACUCUAGGACAGACAGUCACCAUCUCAUGUCAAUCCAGUACUGGUAUCGGCAGCUACUUACACUGGUACCAGCAGAAACAAGGACAACCUCCAACACUGAUUAUCAGCUAUGCGACCAAUCUGCAAUCUGGAGCCCCAGCCAGGUUCAGUGGAUCUGGAUUUGGAACAGAUUUCACUCUCACAAU